CUAAUACAGCAUAACAUCCUGCCUUUGAAGAGGUGGAGAUCAAAGCUGGGGAUCGCAAGACCUAGCGCUGGAAGAGGGGCCCGCGUCUGAUUAGCUAGUUGGUGGGGUAAUGGCUCACCAAGGCAACGAUCAGUAUCCGGCCUGAGAGGGCGGACGGACACACUGGGACUGAGACACGGCCCAGACUCCUACGGGAGGCAGCAGUGGGGAAUUGUUCGCAAUGGGCGCAAGCCUGACGACGCAACGCCGCGUGGAGGAUGAAGACCUUCGGGUCGUAAACUCCUUUCGAUCGAGACGAACGGCUCCCGGACGAAUAAUUCGGGAGAGUGACGGUACCGAGAGAAGAAGCCCCGGCUAACUCCGUGCCAGCAGCCGCGGUAAUACGGGGGGGGCAAGCGUUGUUCGGAAUUACUGGGCGUAAAGGGCUCGUAGGCUGCCAACUAAGUCAGACGUGAAAUCCCUCGGCUUAACCGGGGAACUGCGUCUGAUACUGGAUGGCUUGAGAUCGGGAGAGGGAUGCGGAAUUCCAGGUGUAGCGGUGAAAUGCGUAGAUAUCUGGAGGAACACCGGUGGCGAAGGCGGCAUCCUGGACCGACACUGACGCUGAGGAGCGAAAGCCAGGGGAGCAAACGGGAUUAGAUACCCCGGUAGUCCUGGCCCUAAACGAUGAAUGCUUGGUGUGGCGGGUAUCGAUCCCUGCCGUGCCGAAGCUAACGCAUUAAGCAUUCCGCCUGGGGAGUACGGUCGCAAGGCUGAAACUCAAAGGGAUUGACGGGGGCCCGCACAAGCGGUGGAGCAUGUGGUUCAAUUCGACCACGCGAAGAACCUACCCAGGCUUGAACAGCGAGUGACCACUCACGAAAGUGAGCUUCCGCAAGGACACUCGUAGAGGUGCUGCAUGGCUGUCGUCAGCUCGUGUCGUGAGAUGUUGGGUUAAGUCCCGCAACGAGCGCAACCCUUGUCUGCUGUUGCCAUCACGUUAUGGUGGGCACUCUGCAGAGACUGCCGGUGAUAAACCGGAGGAAGGUGGGGAUGACGUCAAGUCAGCAUGGCCUUUAUGUCUGGGGCUACACACGUGCUACAAUGGCCGAUACAAACCGUCGCGAGCCCGCAAGGGGGAGCUAAUCGGAGAAAGUCGGUCUCAGUUCGGAUUGUCGGCUGCAACUCGCCGGCAUGAAGUUGGAAUCGCUAGUAAUCGCGGAUCAGCACGCCGCGGUGAAUACGUUCCCGGGCCUUGUACACACCGCCCGUCACAUCACGAAAGCCGGUUGUACUAGAAGCCGCCACAUCAACCCGCAAG
rnacentral:rRNA from 1 species